UGGCGAACGGGUGAGUAACACGUGGGUAAUCUGCCCUGCACUCUGGGAUAAGCCUGGGAAACUGGGUCUAAUACUGGAUAUGACCUUUCUACUUAUGGGGUUUGGUGGAAAGUUUUUCGGUGUAGGAUGAGCCCGCGGCCUAUCAGCUUGUUGGUGGGGUGAUGGCCUACCAAGGCGACGACGGGUAGCCGGCCUGAGAGGGUGAUCGGCCACAUUGGGACUGAGAUACGGCCCAA
rnacentral:rRNA from 1 species